rnacentral:lncRNA from 1 species
CUCACCAGCGACUAGAACCAGCAACUCUGUCAGGGAUUGUGGCAUUUAUCCUUAGUCUUUUAUGUGCAGCUCUGAAUUUAAUUCGAGGCUUUCAUGCCAUAGAAAGUCUCCUGCAGAGUGAUGGUGAGGAUUUUAAUUACAUUGUUGCAUUUUUCCUUGGAACAGCAGCCUGCCUUUAUCAGUGUUACUUACUUGUCUACUACACCGGCUGGCGGAAUGUCAAAUCUUUUUUGACUUUUGGCUUAAUCUGUCUAUGCAACAUGUAUCUCUAUGAACUGCGCAACCUCUGGCAGCUUUUCUUUCAUGUGACUGUGGGAGCAUUUGUUACACUACAGAUCUGGCUAAGGCAAGCCCAGGGCAAGGCUCCUGAUUAUGAUGUCUGACACCAUCCUUCAGACUAUUGCCUUGGCUUCAGGGGAAGGAGGAGGGAGCAUGUCUUAACUACCACUGUGAUGAAGAACCUGUUCACCACAAAGAAGCUCUGUUUUCUCUCUCUCCAACUGUCUUUUUUGCUUUAAGUCAGCAUAGCAUGCCUGUGAGCAUGCAUUACCUGUUAGGCAAACUUCUCUCAGCAGAAUGUUGGCCAUGAGGUUAUCAUUUGGAAGAUGAGGAGACGCCAUGGCAGUGGAAGAAUAGUCAGUCACCAUUGGAAGACUUGGCCAGCAGCCGUGGCUGGAGGGUUGAGUCAAAAAGUAUGUGUGGUACUUUCUCUGAGAACCAAGCAGGAGCUCUACAACCCCAGUUUGCCUUUGUGAGGCAUUAGUGUAGACCAAAUAAAAAGAUGCUGCAGUGAAUUAGAAAGUUUAUGUGUAAAACAUGACUUGCUGAAUAUCAGAUUAUUUGCACAUUUAUGGUACCAUGAGUUUAUGAAGUCUAAAUUGGUGUGGAGUUAAUUCCUUUUCCUUUUGCUUGAAUCUAAACUCUGGAAAUUGCCCAGUGUAGAAGAAGGCUGUGGUAAGCUCAUCCUUGGCUUUCCUUUCACAAGUAUUGAAUACUCUUCCUUUCACAAGUAUUGAAAACACAGUGACACAUGUUUUUUUCUUAGACCAUGUUUAUACUUUCUUUUGGAAUAACUUUUGAAAAUAUGAUUUGUUAGACCAUAACCAUUGUUUCCCAGACUUCAAUCACUUGAGUAUUAUACAUGCUAUGAUUUACUUAAUAUUCAUCUUUUAAAUUUUAAAAUAUUUCAAAAAGAAACUCUACUCCAAGUGGAAAACCAGCAUCAGAUUGCUAUAAAUAAAAGAUAACAACAAAAUAAAUACAAUUAAAACAAAAAAUGUUAUUAAAUUCUACCUAAAUACCAGUGCAAGUCAAGGCUCUGAAUCCAAGAAGCCUGCUCUUUUGUUGCAGUGAGAGAUGUUACCCAGCACCAAAAUGGGGAUCUCUCUGUGGAAUUAUCAGAAGUCUAAAAGAAAAUUGCAAAGGGAAUGACAUCCUCACCAUGGUUCAGCAUGGCUUAAUUCUGUGUUGAGUACCACCGAAAAUCAUCUUACAUGCCACCCAGUGGUAUGGAUCCUGCACUAUGGAAACACUGAACUGCUCCAAGAGAAUCAGAAGUGGAAUGCAGUCUGAAGAAAUGCCUAUUUCCAUUUCUGUUGGCCUAUGUCUGGAUAGAAUUCUGAUUUGUCAAGGCUCCACAGAGACCAGAUUUGUCAGUCUGGCACUUGAAGAUUGGAUAAAGAGCUGCACAAGUAUCUGGGGUCAGGGAAUGCCAGAGGAGGGAGAAACCUUGGAGGUCAGCCAUUCCAGUGGCCUCACUUGGCGUUAUCCUUGUGUCUGUCUUGUGAAGCAAUGACCUUGCAGGUGGCAGUGAGAGUCUGUGCAACACUACUUUUUGAGCAUCUACAUCCUGUGCCUAAGAAUGCCUUCCCACCCUGCAAGGAUGUGAGCUCAGCAUCGAUUCCAGGCUCUGGGAAACUCCCUUUCUACCAAUUAGCAGCUAGUGGCCAGACUGCAUAUAGAAACACUCAUAUCUUAUCAUGUUUAGACUAUAGCUCUGGGCAUGAUUUCUCUACGCCACUCAGAGAGAAAAAGAUAAAUAAUGUUUCAUCUUUGUUUACAGUUUAUCAAGUUGUAGAUCACAGUUUAGUGUAAGAGGAAAAAAUCUUCUAUAAGACAAAGAUUAAAGCCAAUAAUAUUUCAGUAAGUUAUAAAAUCAUAAAUUUAUCAGUUCACUUACUCCCAUGUAAUUGAUUCCUGUUGAUCUGGAUGAAACCUUCAGGUUUUCCAUUGGUUUUGUAAAUUCUUACUGUUCAGCAGUAUGAUCUAAAAGUCAUCAGGGAGUUCUCGUUGUGGCUCAGUGGUUAAUGAAUCCGAUUAGGAACCAUGAGGUUGUGGGUUCGAUUCCUGGCCUCACUCAGGGGGUUAAGGAUCCAGCAUUUCCAUGAGCUGUGGUGUAGGUCGUAGACUUGGCUCAGAUCCUGAGUUGCUGUGGCUCUGGUGUAGGCCGACGGCUAUAGCUCCGAUCAGACCCCUAGCCUGGGAACCUCCAUAUGCUUCGGGGGCGGCC